CUGGCGGGAAGCGGGCCACGUGGGGCAAACGAAAGAGCCUUGGCGCCACCUCCCUUUUCAACCCCGGAAUCUGUUUGAGUAAUGAGUCCGAGAGGGGGGGAUGGGCUAGCUGUCUUCGGCCAGGACCCCUCCCCUGUUGCCCCAUAUGGGGUCCCAUUAGGAGUAAGAAAAAGGAUCUACAUCUCUUGUUCCAGAGAACCUGAAUUACCGCUACUGCAGAGAUGACCACUAAUCUGCUACUGAAAUUUGGGCUACAAGAUGCCUCAAACAUCUUCCCUUUUUAUCUUUGAAUCAGCUGUGUAUGCAAGAUGAUCCUAAUGAAUGAAAAAACCCAGAUCCAAAGUGGCCCCAGAAGAUGUAAGUGGAAGGAGCUUUUUUUUAAACAAAAAGAUUCUUCUGGUCCAUAAUG